CGGGGAGUAGCGCAGCCUGGCAGCGCACCUGCCUUGGGAGCAGGGGGUCGCUGGUUCGAAUCCAGUCUCCCCGACCA
rnacentral:tRNA from 1 species